UUCUUAUCCAGAGAGGUGGAGGGACUGGCCCUUUGAAGCCUCGGCAGCGGACUUUUUUAAGUACUGUGCCAAUUCCAGUAGCGUAAGGCUAGAAGAUAAGAA
rnacentral:ncRNA from 2 species